rnacentral:tRNA from 1 species
GUAUCCGUAGCUCAGGUGGAUAGAGCAGCAGUUUCCUAAACUGUGUGUCGGGGGUUCAAGUCCCCCCGGGUGCA